rnacentral:rRNA from 1 species
AUUGAACGCUGGCGGCAUGCUUUACACAUGCAAGUCGAACGGCAGCGCGGGCUUCGGCCUGGCGGCGAGUGGCGAACGGGUGAGUAAUGCAUCGGAACGUGCCCAGUAGUGGGGGAUAGCCCGGCGAAAGCCGGAUUAAUACCGCAUACGACCUGAGGGUGAAAGCGGGGGUCCGAAAGGCCUCGCGCUAUUGGAGCGGCCGAUGUCGGAUUAGCUAGUUGGUGGGGUAAAGGCUUACCAAGGCGACGAUCCGUAGCUGGUCUGAGAGGACGACCAGCCACACUGGGACUGAGACACGGCCCAGACUCCUACGGGAGGCAGCAGUGGGGAAUUUUGGACAAUGGGGGCAACCCUGAUCCAGCCAUGCCGCGUGCGGGAAGAAGGCCUUCGGGUUGUAAACCGCUUUUGUUCGGGAAGAAAUCCUCUGGGCUAAUACCCCGGGGGGAUGACGGUACCGGAAGAAUAAGCACCGGCUAACUACGUG